CUUGACCUCAGAUCAGACAAGGCUACCCGCUGAAUUUAAGCAUAUUAAUAAGCGGAGGAAAAGAAACUAACAAGGAUUCCCCUAGUAACGGCGAGUGAAGCGGGAUCAGCUCAAAUUUAAAAUCUCCGUUGCUUGCAACGGCGAAUUGUAGUUUCGAGAAGCKCUYWCWAGGCGGACCGACCGCGCCYAAGUUGCUUGGAACAGCACGUCAUAGAGGGUGACAACCCCGUCUGUGGCGAGGCCGGCCGCUGUCGAUGUGCUUUCAAAGAGUCGGGUUGUUUGGGAAUGCAGCCCAAAAUGGGUGGUAAACUCCAUCUAAAGCUAAAUAUUGGCACGAGACCGAUAGCGAACAAGUACCGUGAGGGAAAGAUGAAAAGGACUUUGGAAAGAGAGUUAAAAAGUACGUGAAACCGUUAAAAGGGAAACGAAUGGAGCUAGCAAUGCGCCCUGUGAGAUUCAGCCGGCCGGUGGUCCAGGCGCGUGGCUUGCAGAUCUGAAUUGACUGCGGCCGCGUGGUUUGGGCUCCCGACCGUCGCACUUCUUGCGGGCGCGCGUCAACAUGGGUUGGGAGUGGGUCUGAAAGGCACCGGGAAGGUAGGUCCGACCCCUCGGGGCUGGUCUGUUAUAGUCCGGUGUUCUCAUGGCUCGCGCCCGACCGAGGAGUUGCAGCACAUGCCUCUUGUGGCUGGGGUCCCGUCGUUCCGGUUGGUUGUCGACGGCGGUGGACUGCGUGCAGUGCACCGCGACUGCUGCCGGUCGCUACGGUGGUGACUUCGCACCAUGUGCUCAGGAUGUUGGCGGUCAUAUGGCUUCAUCCGACCCGUCUUGAAACACGGACCAAGGAGUCUAACAUGUGCGCGAGUCUUAGGGUGAUUGAAACCCGGGGGCGCAAUGAAAGUGAAGGCAGCCUCGGCUGCUGAGGUGAGAACCUUCCCCGCGGGGAGGGCGCAUCAUCGACCGACCUAUUCUACUCUUAGGAAGGUUUGAGUAAGAGCGCAUUUGUUGGGAC
rnacentral:rRNA from 1 species